rnacentral:rRNA from 1 species
AUUGAACGCUGGCGGCAGGCCUAACACAUGCAAGUCGAGCGGAUGAAGGGAGCUUGCUCCUGGAUUCAGCGGCGGACGGGUGAGUAAUGCCUAGGAAUCUGCCUGGUAGUGGGGGAUAACGUCCGGAAACGGGCGCUAAUACCGCAUACGUCCUGAGGGAGAAAGUGGGGGAUCUUCGGACCUCACGCUACCAGAUGAGCCUAGGUCGGAUUAGCUAGUUGGUGGGGUAAAGGCCUACCAAGGCGACGAUCCGUAACUGGUCUGAGAGGAUGAUCAGUCACACUGGAACUGAGACACGGUCCAGACUCCUACGGGAGGCAGCAGUGGGGAAUAUUGGACAAUGGGCGAAAGCCUGAUCCAGCCAUGCCGCGUGUGUGAAGAAGGUCUUCGGAUUGUAAAGCACUUUAAGUUGGGAGGAAGGGCAGUAAGUUAAUACCUUGCUGUUUUGGCGUUACCAACAGAAUAAGCACCGGCUAACUUCGUG